GGGUGUGACGCCUGCCCGGUGCUGGAAGGUUAAUUGAAGAUGUGAGAGCAUCGGAUCGAAGCCCCAGUAAACGGCGGCCGUAACUAUAACGGUCCUAAGGUAGCGAAAUUCCUUGUCGGGUAAGUUCCGACCCGCACGAAUGGCGUAACGAUGGCCACACUGUCUCCUCCCGAGACUCAGCGAAGUUGAAGUGGUUGUGAAGAUGCAAUCUACCCGCUGCUAGACGGAAAGACCCCGUGAACCUUUACUGUAGCUUUGCAUUGGACUUUGAAGUCACUUGUGUAGGAUAGGUGGG
rnacentral:rRNA from 1 species